UCUCUAGUAGCUCAGUGGUAGAGCGUAUAGCUGUUAACUAUUUUUGCAUUGGUUCAAUUCCAAUCUAGAGAG
rnacentral:tRNA from 1 species